UACAGCGGGUGCAAGCGUUAAUCGGAAUUACUGGGCGUAAAGCGCGCGUAGGUGGUUCAGUAAGUUGGAAGUGAAAUCCCCGGGCUCAACCUGGGAACUGCUUUCAAAACUGCUGAGCUAGAGUACGGUAGAGGGUGGUGGAAUUUCCUGUGUAGCGGUGAAAUGCGUAGAUAUAGGAAGGAACACCAGUGGCGAAGGCGACCACCUGGACUGAAACUGACACUGAGGUGCGAAAGCGUGGGGAGCAAACAGG
rnacentral:rRNA from 1 species